GGGCCCGCACAAGCGGUGGAGCAUGUGGUUUAAUUCGAUGCAACGCGAAGAACCUUACCUGGUCUUGACAUACACAGAAUCUUGUAGAGAUACGAGAGUGCCUUCGGGAAUUGUGAUACAGGUGCUGCAUGGCUGUCGUCAGCUCGUGUCGUGAGAUGUUGGGUUAAGUCCCGCAACGAGCGCAACCCUUGUCCUUAGUUGCCAGCACGUAAUGGUGGGAACUCUAGGGAGACUGCCGGUGACAAACCGGAGGAAGGUGGGGACGACGUCAGGUCAUCAUGGCCCUUACGACCUGGGCUACACACGUGCUACAAUGGCUGGUACAGAGGGUUGCGAAGUCGCGAGGCGAAGCUAAUCCCUUAAAGCCAGUCGUAGUCCGGAUCGGAGUCUGCAACUCGACUCCGUGAAGUCGGAAUCGCUAGUAAUCG
rnacentral:rRNA from 1 species